rnacentral:tRNA from 1 species
CUCCCGGAAAUGAUUAAUCAAAAAUUUCCACGGAAUUCUGAAAGAUGGAAAAAUCCUUUUUUUUAUCGAAUCA